rnacentral:rRNA from 1 species
UCAGACGAUGCGUCAUGCAUAUCAAUAAGCGGAGGAAAAGAAACUAACAAGGAUUCCCUUAGUAACGGCGAGUGAAGCGGGAAGAGCUCAAAUUUGAAAUCUUCAAGGUUUUACCUUGACGAAUUGUAGUUUAAAGAAGUGUUUUCUGCUGAAGUUUUGGUAAAAGUUCUUUGGAAUAGGACAUCAUAGAGGGUGAGAAUCCCGUAUUUGACCAUUAUUUUCAGCUUUGUGAUACACUUUCAAAGAGUCGGAUUGUUUGGGAAUGCAGUCCAAAAUGGGUGGUAAAUUUCAUCUAAAGCUAAAUAUUGGCGAGAGACCGAUAGCGAACAAGUACCGUGAGGGAAAGAUGAAAAGAACUUUGAAAAGAGAGUUAAACAGUACGUGAAAUUGUCCAAAAGGGAAAGCGUUUGACACCAGUGUUGUUUUCUCGAAAAUCAAUUAAAAAUGGCUCGAUUUUGUAUUGUUGAGACCUUAAAAGCUCACUGUAGCAUUUUUCGUGUCUUUUUUAAUGCACUUUUCGUUUAACAAGUCAACAUCAGUUUCUUUUGUUGUAAAAGGGUCAUUGGAAGGUGGCUUUCUUUUCGGAGAAAGUGUUUACAGCCUUUGGCCUCUGCAAUCGGAGAGACUGAGGUCUGCAGCGUAGACUCUUCGGGGUUAGAUACAUUUGUGCUAAGUUAUAGCUUUUUAUAGACAACUUGUUGACUAUAAUUAGUCUUGUAGCUUACUCGCUUAUGCUAUUUUACCUACGCUUAGGAUGUUGAACUACUGAGACAUAGA